GACGAACGCUGGCGGCGUGCUUAACACAUGCAAGUCGAACGGAAAGGCCCUGCGUUUGUGGGGUGCUCGAGUGGCGAACGGGUGAGUAACACGUGAGUAACCUGCCCUUGACUUUGUGAUAACUUCAGGAAACUGGGGCUAAUACAGGAUAGGAUCUCCUGCUGCAUGGGGGGGGUUGGAAAGUUUCGGCGGUUGGGGAUGGACUCGCGGCUUAUCAGCUUGUUGGUGGGGUAGUGGCUUACCAAGGGUUUGACGGGUAGCCGGCCUGAGAGGGUGACCGGCCACAUUGGGACUGAGAGACGGACCAGACUGCUACGGGCGGCAGCAGUGGGGAAUAUUGCACAAUGGGCGGAAGCCUGAUGCAGCAACGCCGCGUGCGGGAUGACGGCCUUCGGGUUGUAAACCGCUUUCGCCUGUGACGAAGCGUGAGUGACGGUAAUGGGUAAAGAAGCACCGGCUAACUACGUG
rnacentral:rRNA from 1 species